UGGGGAAUUUUGGACAAUGGGGGAAACCCUGAUCCAGCGACGCCGCGUGGAGGAUUGAAGGUCUUCGGAUCGUAAACUCCUUUUAGAGGGGACGAAUGUACGGUAUGUAACUAUAUCGUAUUGACUGUACCCUCAGAAUAAGUCACGGCUAACUACGUGCCAGCAGCCGCGGUAAUACGUAGGUGGCUAGCGUUACUCGGAUUUACUAGGCGUAAAGCGCAUGUAGGCGGUUGGAUAAGUCGACUGUUAAAGCCCCUGGCUUAACCAGGGGAGGUCGGUCGAAACUGUUUAACUUGAGUUUGGUAGAGGUAACUGGAAUUCCCGGUGUAGCGGUGAAAUGCGUAGAUAUCGGGAGGAAUACCAAUGGCGAAGGCAGGUUACUGGACCAAUACUGACGCUCAGAUGCGAAAGCUAGGGGAGCAAACA
rnacentral:rRNA from 1 species